ensembl:lncRNA
UUUGUACUCUACUCAUGUCUCAUACCUAUUGCUAACUGUAAGGCCCCAUUAGCAGGCCCCCAGGGUGGCAUAGUCGACAUAUUGAGCAGAGUGGUGGUGACUGUUCAGCAGAGGUGUUGUUUUUCUUCCUGUUGCUGUCACCGCCAGCCAUCCCAGCAUUGCCUCUCUUGUAGGGUCAAAAAUCAUUCACUGCAACACUGCUCAUUCUCUGCAAUCCCCCAAAUAACACCAGGGUGUCAUAAUGGUAUGGAAACCUGAUAGUUGAGAAUACACUGAACACUGAAGGGAGUAUCAGUCUUCCACCUACAGAGAGAAUCAACAAACCCAUGGGUUAAAGAUCAAUAGAGACUUUUAAUGCAUCCAGUUUGGUUGGAGUAAGACCAGCAGUGUUUCUGGUCUUUCAUAGACAAGGUGUAACCCAGCCAUGCAAUUAUAGAAUUACUUUGGAAAUUAUUUAAUUUGACAUGUAGGGCAAUUAUUAUAAUUACUUUAUUAUUAUUCUUUCUUAUUGUAUUUUGUUUUUGUAUUUUUCGUUAUUAUAGUCUUGACACCGUUGAUUGAGAUUUGAGCCAAUAGGAAGGCAAGGGGGAGCGGAAGUCCCGCCUCCAUGUAAUAUUUCUUUCGGCAGAUGCCUGCUUUUUAUUUCUUUUUUCAAUUGAGCCACGUAGCUGUCGCAACGUUGGAGAACUAUAUAUUUCUUAUAUAUCAAACUGAAACUUUGCGUAGAACUUUCCCAGUAUAUACUGCUGCAUAAUCAUUUUAUUUUGUGUAGCAAGAACGGAUUUUGGUGAGUUGUCUAUUUUGAGGUUUUUUUUUUAGAACUUGUAAUGUAGUAAGUUCAGCUAGCUAGCAUAGUUUCUACAUAGCAUUGCUGUUGCAGAUAAUUGAUAUGUUUACCUGUCCUAGAAAUAUUGAUAGCAUAGAAAUUACUUUUGUAUAUUAUCUACCUUAAUUCAUAUUUGAAG